rnacentral:ribozyme from 1 species
CUACGGACUUAAUUGGAUUGAGCCUUGGUAUGGAAACUUACUAAGUGAUCACUUUCAAGUUCAGAGAAACCCUGAAAUUAACAAAAAUGGGCAAUCCUGAGCCAAAUCCUGUUUUCCGAAAACUAGGUAUUUAAUGUCAUUAAGACUUGACUAACGAGAUAUUUUGAUUGUUUGUCAUUUCUAUCUCAUAAUAUCGAGAUCAGGAUCGGAAGUUCAUGUCGUUUCUCAUCGUCUACUCUUCGAAAAACGAGGGGACUAUAUGUAUACUAUCGAAGUCGGGCUCGACUACAACUUGAUAAAUUUGGCUUAGAACGUGGCCAUCACGGACUGGAGAUUGACUUCGAGUCUUACCGAGUUAGAGCCUGAGGUCAGAAGACCUACCUUCAAGGAACGUUGAGU